AGGGUGUUAAACUCCUGGAGGAUACUCAUAAGCCAGGACUUCCCAAGAGUGUCCCAUGGAACCUGAGUUCUAAGGACGGUACAUGAAAAAAAUCAACAUGGGUUCCAUGAUCAAAGAAGUUUGGGAAAUGGGCUAAAUGAAAGGACUUCCAAGGCCUUUUAUCUGCUAAUGAGAAAGAACAAGCCCUGUGAAAAACAAGCUGCUGUCCCUGCUAGAGGCAUCCUGCAAUCCAUGGAUGUUUAUCACCAAGCCAUUGUUAACAUGAGGAGCCAGAAAAACUUCAUCUCUUUUACAAGAAACAUUGAGAUUCCUGUAAAAUUAAGAAAUCACACAAUUUGAUGGUCUACAUUAUCUAAAGCAAAUGAGACUUCUAUUUGGAACAAAGACUACCUUGUUGGGAAAUGAGUCUGCAAGUUAAAGUGUUUUCUGAAAGAUGGUAUCUGUAUCAUCUAGACUGUGUUUGCCCUGAGGAGAAACUAAGACAGACAUGCCCAAAGGCUGAACUCAAUAUCUUUGUAGAAAUUAUUAAAAGCAAUAUCACCUUUAGCCUUGUCAAGAACCUCUAACAAGACCUUUUCAGACCAAAGUGCCCUCAAUAUCAGAGCAUGUAGUCACCCACCCCAGGUUGACCCCGGAAGUAUGAGAGAGCUAAGGUGGGAGCCAGAGGCUGAGAGAAGAAAGGGGGUGACCUAGUUCAUGCCAAAUGAAUCUCACAAGCAAGACUAGAUUGUAAAAUCAGCAAAGUCGCUCACAGCUGCAUUAUGUCCUCCCUGAGCUCUGGGCACUUUUGCCUUUGUGACCUCCUUCCUCCAACAAUUAACAUUAAAAAUUGUAUUUUAUUAUAAAGACAAACAUAA
rnacentral:lncRNA from 1 species